AUCAAGACCGUCGUAUAAUUUCGGCGACUGCGCAGCGGCCUGGAAGAGGUCCUUCAC
rnacentral:sRNA from 1 species